AGGAUGAACGCUGGCGGCGUGCCUAACACAUGCAAGUCGAACGUCCUGUCUCGCAAGAGGCAGGGAGUGGCGGACGGGUGAGUACCACGUGGGUCAUCUACCGUGAGGUGAGGAAUACCGGCGAGAAAUCGCCGACAAGACCGCAUAGCCUCGGUGCAAGUCGAGGAAAGCUCUCUCGAGAGAGGGAGCGCCACACGAGGAGCCUGCGCCCGAUUAGCUAGCUGGUGGAGUAACGGUUCACCAGGGCGACGAUCGGUAGCUGGUCUGAGAGGACGAUCAGCCACACUGGGAUUGAGAACGGCCCAGACUCCUACGGAGGGCAGCAGUGAGGAAUUUUCGUCAAUGGGGGCAACCCUGAACGAGCAACGCCGCGUGCAGGAAGAAGGUUUUCGGAUCGUAAACUGCUUUUCUCGGGGAAGAGGAACGGACGGUACCCGAGGAAUCAGCCCGGCUAACUACGUGCCAGCAGCCGCGGU
rnacentral:rRNA from 1 species